rnacentral:rRNA from 1 species
UGCUGGAACGCGCCUCGGCGCACCCAGAAACCCUUUGUGAACUUAUACCUUAUUGUUGCCUCGGCGAAGGCCAGCCUCUCUUCUGAGGCCCCCCGGAGACGGGGAGCAGCCCGCCGGCGGCCAACCAAACUCUUGUUUCUUAGUGAAUCUCUGAGUAAAAAACAUAAAUGAAUCAAAACUUUCAACAACGGAUCUCUUGGUUCUGGCAUCGAUGAAGAACGCAGCGAAAUGCGAUAAGUAAUGUGAAUUGCAGAAUUCAGUGAAUCAUCGAAUCUUUGAACGCACAUUGCGCCCUCUGGUAUUCCGGAGGGCAUGCCUGUUCGAGCGUCAUUUCAACCCUCAAGCCUGGCUUGGUGUUGGGGCACUGCCUUGGAGACAAGGCAGGCCCUGAAAUCUAGUGGCGAGCUCGCUAGGACCCCGAGCGUAGUAGUUAUAUCUCGUUCUGGAAGGCCCUGGCGGUGCCCUGCCGUUAAACCCCCAACUUCUGAAAUUUUGACCUCGGAUCAGGUAGGAAUACCCGCUGAACUUAAGCAUAUCAAUAAGCGGAGGAAAAGAAACCAACAGGGAUUGCCCUAGUAACGGCGAGUGAAGCGGCAACAGCUCAAAUUUGAAAUCUGGCCUCGGCCCGAGUUGUAAUUUGCAGAGGAUGCUUCUGGCGCGGUGCCUUCCGAGUUCCCUGGAACGGGACGCCACAGAGGGUGAGAGCCCCGUAUGGUCGGACACCAAGCCUGUGUGAAGCUCCUUCGACGAGUCGAGUAGUUUGGGAAUGCUGCUCUAAAUGGGAGGUAAAUCUCUUCUAAAGCUAAAUA